AUUGAACGCUGGCGGCAGGCUUAACACAUGCAAGUCGAACGAGUGGCGGACGGGUGAGUAAUGCGUGGGAAUCUAGCUUAUGGAGGGGGAUAACUACGGGAAACUGUAGCUAAUACCGUGUACCAUAGGAUGAGGCCAAGUGGGAUUGGGUAGUUGGUGGGGUAAAGGCUCACCAAGGCGACGAUCUCGAGCUGGUCUGAGAGGAUGACCAGCCACACUGUAACUGAGACACGGCCCAGACUCCGACGGGAGGCAGCAGUGGGGAAUAUUGCACAAUGGGCGCAAGCCUGAUGCAGCCAUGCCGCGUGUGUGAAGAAGGCCUUCGGGUUGUAAAGCACUUUCAGCGGGGAGGCGUUACCCGCAGAAGAAGCACCGGCUAACUCCGUGCCAGCCGCCGCGGUAAUUC
rnacentral:rRNA from 1 species